ACACCUAAGUAUAAAUACAAAUUUUAUUCCAACAAUAAGAUAAUCUUUCUUUCCUUUUUACUUAGACAUUGUAUUAGUUUCCUCUGGCUGCCAUAACAAAUACCACAAACCAGAUGUCUUUUUAUUUUUUCACAAACCCAUCCUGACAGCUACAAGUCCGAGAUCAAGAGCCUAUAGGUUUGGUUUCCUCUGAACCCCUCUCCUUGGCUGUGGAUAGAUUUCUUCCUGUGUCUUCACACGAUCUUCCCUCUGUGUGUAUCAGUGUCCUAAUCUCUUCUUACUAGUCAUAUUGGAUCAGGGCCCACCCUAAUGACCUCAUUUAACAAAAUUAUCUCUUUCAAGUUCCUAUCUCCUAUCGCCCUCGCCCCGCAAGGAUGACAAGAACCCCGGUUCGGAUGCAUCUUCUCUCUCUUUAUUUCUGCAAGUCUACACACUUAUAUAAGCUUACAUGACCAAUCAGCGAGCAGGGUACAGGAGGGAGCGAAUCAGGCUGUGCACCUAAACGAACAACUUUGCUAGCAACCAAUGCUGUUUACUUCCUCUUGGGCAUUCUGCUUAGUCUCAGGAGGCAAUCUUAACCUGGCAACUAGCCAGGCGCCAUCUUUUAAUGGCGGAGGCCGCCCUGGCCAGGGGCCUGCCUCCGACAAUCUCCAAAUACAGUCACAUUCUGAGGUCCUGGCAGUGAGGACCUCAACAUAUGAAAUGUGGGAAGGAGAACACAAUUCAGCCCAUAACACUCAUAAUGUGAACUCAAUUCUUUGUGCACAGGCAUCUAAGGAGAAGACCCAAAUGCAGAAUGAAGUAUAAGAGAAGCAAUUACUGAGAUAAACAAAAGCUACUACACAUCCCCAUUUUAUAGCUGUGCUCGGCGUUGUUUCUGGAGGAAACUUCCAGAGCAGGAAGAAGUCGAUACAUACUUGGUAGAUUGUAAUAGACUAUUCAGAGAAACGUGUUGACUAUUUUCUUGACUUGAAUGAAAAAUAUGCAAAAGAAACCAUUUCCAGUCUUUUAUCUGAUUCUGUAAGAAUUCUGAGCACCAAACUAUACUCUGCUCUGUGGAAAGCAAGAUCCAGUGGGAAUCUUUUGGGUUUAUACAUAUAUUAUUGUCAGAGUAAGGAUAGUAAUCCACCUGUUAUACAAUAUUAUCUUGACAUGCAUUCUUAAUGAAUUGGGUCUUUCAGUUUAUGUGCACCCAUAAAACUUAACAGUUCAACCUCCUCAUAGCCAUAUUCAUCACUUCCCAUCAGAGAAAAUAACAUUUUAUUGUAAAAUUACAAUUUUUUUAAAUUUAGAGCUCUAGUUUCUAAGAUAAGAAAACAGACAUGUCAUUUGGGGGCAAGAAUAGAAACAAAGUAAACAGAAGAAACAACUUUUUGAACACAUUUCUCUACAUACUUUCACAGUAUUUGAAAAACAUUUCUUUUUUGCUCAUCUUCUGACUACGCAGUGAACCAAAUUAUGUAAGUUAAAAAUAAAAGAAGUCUUACUGGCUAUUUGCCUUAAAUGAAGAGACAUCUUUCCACCCCAAAGCAACAGCAAAACUAAAAUCCCUAAAUGAAAAGAUGUCAUCUUCUCUUACCACUAUGGUCCCUAGUUAGGAAUUUGGUUACAAGUAAGGAUAACUUGGUGAUGCCCAUAUUAUCAGACUCCUCUUGACUUCUCUCUCUUGCACACAUUGAAUGGCUUACUGAUUUAUUUUCUCCACAUAUACCAUGCUUGGCUUCUGUCUCGUGUGCAAUAGGUCUUUGGUAUCAUAUCUUCUUCCUGUUAUCUCAGAUAACUUUGAUGACUACUUAAAUUCUACUUCCCUGGCUAACUUCUCUUUCCUUUCCACUUUUGACUACCAGGGGACAAAUUUUAAUGUUUCACAAUGCAGGAUAUAAUUUUUACGCGGGGCCUAAUAGCUAGAUGAGCUUAGAAAUUUAAGAAAGGUGAAUUGGGCCACUUGGUACUUUUUCAUGUAAGGAAAACAAACAACUUGUGUGCCUCGGUGUUGCUUCUGGAGGAACUUUCCAGAGCACAAAGCAGUCAGUACUAACUCUUAGUAUGAUGUGUCCAUCCCGUCUCCAGUCCUGUGAUGUCAACGUGAUUUCUUGCCAGGCCUGAAGAAGUUCGGAUUAGGGUGUGAAUAGGUACCAUCUUUGUUCUUAGAGAUGACUGGUAGGGACCUUGUUAUUGUUACAGACAAGGGCGAUUUUAGUGUUAAUUUGAAUGCAUCAGAAGAGUUUAAGUUAGAAUUUCAAAGAAAUGGAUGAAUCCUUCAAAUCUCAAUUCUCCUCUAUGGUAUGAAAGAAAUAGCCUCUUCUUUUAAAAGAUCAUAAAAUUAUCCCAAAUCACCAGAGCCCAAUGCUGAACAACACAGCCCAUAGUUACCACGAGGAAUAGGGUUAAAAUUCGCUCUCCAGUGACAAAUCCCAACCCGGAACAGAUUUCAGCCAGGCAGCUAGCAGAGCGCGCGGGGUGAACUGCAGAGGCCAUGGUGGGUGCAGAGCUCAGAGCCGGAAAGCAAACAGCUGCUGUAGCCUGAUUUGAGUUAAAAUAGUGUGAGUGUUUAGUCUGGCGCACGGUUUCAGGGGAGAUUGGCAGCUGGGUCAAACAAAGUCCUUCCAUUGGCUCUCUUCCCAGGCAGCUUCUGCUAGUAUUUAGGUACUAGUGCAGUGUAGGGCCCUUUUCUCAGGCAAACGCUAACAUCUGACCGCACCCUCUUUGCUUUUUCCAAAAAAAAAAAAAGAAAAAAAAAAAGAAAAAGAAAAAAAAAAAAGAAAGAAAAGAAAAGAAAAAGGAAAAAAAAAAGGAAAAAAAAACCCUUUUCUUUCUUUCGUUAAGAUAAAUUCUCCAAUAGACAACCUCUCCCACUAAUUGUGUAUUAGCAAUGUAUUUUAUCUUGAGAGCUGACGCACUGGGCUCUCAACGUGGUGUGGAAAGCAGCCUGUUACAGUGCUGGAUUCAUAAAAGGGCCUUUAUGGUUUGUGAAAGAAUAUCUGUGUGCUUAGGCAGGAAACUUUUUGAUCUGCAGAAAAGCCAGAAGACAUCUAGGUAAGGCUACAUAUCAAAUCUACUUUUGGGGGGAAAAGUUGGGCAGUGAGGAGGAUUCCUCACCACCUACGUGACUUUGGACGGCGCACAUUCACUUUGGUAGAAGUUUAAAAGGGCAUCCUUGAAGAUUAAUAAGAGACCUAUUCAGUCACCUAUAAAGGGAAAAACUUAAAAUGGAUAUGAGAAGUGAAGAAGGUGAUCAUAGGAGAAAAUCAUCUCAGGUAAAAAUAAAAAACAAAAGAGCAAUUUGCUGUUUUAAUAUUUUUAAAGAAAAAAAAACAGUGUUGACUGUGUUUAGUUCUAAGAAUUCGUUUCAUAGUCUUUAUGGAUCUAUCUGUUGGGAUUUUCAUUGAUGGCUUGAGAAUUUGUACUAUUACCUACCUUUGUGACAAAUUUUUGUCUGAGUUUAUGAUCAAUGUGCAGUCUGAGUCCCUUGGAAUUAUGUAUCUGUAUAUCCAUUCAUAUAUCUAUAUAUCCAUUAAUGUAACGAUUGACUAGAAAGUAAUUUAGAAAAAGAAAAAAUAUAUUUUUUCAUUUGUAAUACCAUAAAAAAGGUAGUGAAAUCUGGAGGGAGGUAAUAAAGUUGUGCUUUUUAAAAAAUAUGACCUAAUAAGAGAAUGAAACCAAAAUAUACAUUCUUAUAAUUAUGAUAAAACCAAAACAAAUGUUGCUUUUUAUUUCACAUCUAAGUUUAUGAAUACAUGUUAAGAUAUUUUUACUAUAAUUGAAUGCAAUUAUGACUGUUGAUUUUUUACUAUAGUUUUUAGCAAGUAUGGGAAUAAUUAGAAAAUAAAUAAUGGUAAAAACUUACAUAGACCACAUUAUCUAUAUAAUGUCUAUAAAACACAUUUUAUUUUAUUUCAAAACAUGCAAAAACACGAAGCAAUUUUUAUGUAGUAUUACUAUUUUUCACAAUGAAGAUAUAGUUUAGAAAUGCUAAAUAUACUGGAUAUGAGUGAAACGAUUAAUGAUUGUACAACUUACAGUUUUGUUUCUGUUGAGCUUAAGAAUCUUAAAAAACGUGUAUGUGGCUGGCUUUAUGUUUAUUCUUUGUGUGUUUGCUUAUUGUGUGGUGGUUUAAAUAUUUUUUUUAAUAACAAUUUAUUUUUGCCCAACCCGUUGACCAGGUAAGAGUUGUAAGUAGCUAUAUGUUAUGUUUUAAGAAUAUCUUUUUAAAAAAUAAAUUUAUUGUGUUUAAGAGGCAAGUUAGAUCUUCUUCCAUACAGUAGAUCUGAAGUAUAAAUUUUAGUAGUAGUAACACUGUUAAUAGUAAUAAUGUUGUUAAUAUGUCAUUAAUUUUAGUUUUCUGAUAUUUAUCCAAAUAUUGUUAAUUUCAGUAUUAUUCCAACUAUAGACACAUAUGUAUACUUUUAAGACUUUUUAGUGACUUCCUGUGUUCUCUGCCUAGUCAACAAGAUCUCCCUUGUUUUAUGAGAAAGUUACAAUGUUACCCAUUCCUUAAAAUCACUAACUGAGGUUUUAUAAAAGAGUUAAAACAAGCACAGUCUGAGCCUUACACAAUUAGCUUAAUAGUUAAUUUGGUCUUAAUUAUAGGCUGGUAAUACUACAUUCAUGCUUCACAAUUACAUAAUUCAUACAUGCAUGUAUGGAUCCUUUUUUUUUUCUUUUAAAACUCAUUAUUAAUUAGAAUAGUCCAAAUCCAAAAUAUUCCCCAUUAAAACAAAAGUAAUCUGUGUAAAAUAUUUCAGUAUACGAUUCUUUAAAUUCUCAUGUAUAUAAACCUGUAUUUAGUGCAGAAUAUUCAUGAAGGCCUUUAACUGGGAAUAUGCAUACUAAGAUUAUUUUAGCAUUAAAAAUAUUAAUGGUGAAGGAUCAAUAUUAAUAUUUUCAUCUGAUUUUGUCAGAUAUUUACAACAAAUUCUGCAUUAAUAGAGAGCCCAAGUGAGAUGUUGCCCAUUGGCAUAAACCCGUAGAUCCGAUCUUGUGGUGAAAUGGACUGCGCAAGCUCGCUUCUAUGGGUCUGUGUCAGUGUGGUAAUCUAACACAAUGCUAUAGCCAAAUGCUGUUAAAUAAUAUCUCAGCCAAACUCCUGUUAAACUUUAGUCGAUUACUUUUUAAGUAUUUUAUAUUUUCCUUUAUUUCUCAAGUGUACAUUAACCGUCUUUGGUCUUUAGAGGCAACCUCCAAUUGUUGACCUCUAGGAAGGGUUUAUAGCAUAGCCAUUCAAAGUUGGAUUCCAAGUAUAGUAAGUUACUUAAGAAACUUGAAUUUUUUAUAAGAAGGUUUGAAACAAGAGCUGAAUAGAAACGAUUCAGAAACUUAAGUUCACAUUGUAGUGGUUAGUACACCUCAUCAGCUUCAAUAAGAAAAAGUAAAAGCUAUAACUGGAUUUAUAUAUUACUAUUGAGCUGAUUUCUCUUAAAUGAAGUUGAAUGCUUAUUGGCUUUUAAUAUUAUUAAUUGCUAGUAGAACUAUAUGUCAGGAGAGAUGUCAGGGGACAUUUUGUAUGCUGGAAACCCAAGAGGUUAGGAUAAUCCUAGUAGACACAUAUUAAGUCUAUUGGUGAAAUGUUAGAAUAUUAUAUCUACAUCCUUGCCAAGCCCAUAGGUAUAUGGCCGCCAUAUUUGGAGGAGCUGACU